UCCCAGAUCGUAUAGUGGUUAGUAUUUCUGCUUGUCAUCCAGACAACCCGCAGGAGACCUGGGUUCAAUUCCCAGUCUGGGAG
rnacentral:tRNA from 1 species